GGUUGACCUCGGAUCAGGUAGGGAUACCCGCUGAACUUAAGCAUAUCAAUAAGCGGAGGAAAAGAAACCAACAGGGAUUGCCUCAGUAACGGCGAGUGAAGCGGCAACAGCUCAAAUUUGAAAUCUGGCCCCUUCUGGGGUCCGAGUUGUAAUUUGUAGAGGAUGCUUCGGGCAAGGCUGUGGUCUAAUUCGCUUGGAACAGCGGGUCAGAGAGGGUGAGAAUCCCGUCUAGGAUCGUACGCCGCGUCCAUGUGAAGCUCCUUCGACGAGUCGAGUUGUUUGGGAAUGCAGCUCUAAAUGGGUGGUAAAUUUCAUCUAAAGCUAAAUAUUGGCCAGAGACCGAUAGCGCACAAGUAGAGUGAUCGAAAGAUGAAAAGCACUUUGAAAAGAGAGUUAAACAGUAUGUGAAAUUGUUGAAAGGGAAGCGCUUGCAAUCAGACUUGUGGCUGACGGUUCCCCCGGCCCCCGUGGCCGGGCUACUCCGUCGUGUCCAGGCCAACAUCGGUCUGGGUGGCCGGUUAAAGACCCCGGGAAUGUAUCUACCUUCGGGUCGACUUAUAGCCCGGGGUGGAAUGCGGCCCACCCGGACCGAGGAACGCGCUUCGGCUCGGAUGUUGGCGUAAUGGUUGCAAGCGGCCCGUCUUGAAACACGGACCAAGGAGUCUAACAUCUAUGCGAGUGUUUGGGUGUCAAACCCCUACGCGGAAUGAAAGUGAACGGAGGUAAGAACCCGCAAGGGCGCAUUAUCGACCGAUCCUGAUGUCUUCGGAUGGAUUUGAGUAAGAGCAUAGCUGUUGGGACCCGAAAGAUGGUGAACUAUGCCUGAAUAGGGUGAAGCCAGAGGAAACUCUGGUGGAGGCUCGCAGCGGUUCUGACGUGCAAAUCGAUCGUCAAAUUUGGGCAUAGGGGCGAAAGUAAGUAACACUCUGUCCCCUGUAACGUGAAAUUUUAUGCUAAUCAUCUCUCUAGGACUAAUCGAACCAUGGUUAAAGAAUGCCUAUUAGCACCCUGAUGGGUUGCCGAUCAGGUGGUUCUCCAACAGUCCCUCGGGGCAACAUCGUCCCUCUGGCGGGGUCACACCCGCAGCAGCCCCCGGCUGUCCACAGACUAGGAGACGGUGGUCACCUUGGCCGAGGUGAUGAUGAUAUAGUCGGUCACGGUUCUCCCGGGAACCGUGGUUGAACGCUGGUAGCUGGUUCCUGUCGAAGUUUCCCUCAGGAUAGCAGUAACGUUUUCAGUUUUAUGAGGUAAAGCGAAUGAUUAGAGGCCUUGGGGUUGCAACAACCUUAACCUAUUCUCAAACUUUAAAUAUGUAAGAAGUCCUUGUUUCUUAAUUGAACGUGGACAUUUGAAUGUAUCGUUACUAGUGGGCCAUUUUUGGUAAGCAGAACUGGCGAUGCGGGAUGAACCGAACGUGAGGUUAAGGUGCCGGAAUGCACGCUCAUCAGACACCACAAAAGGUGUCAAUGCAUCCAGACAGCCGGACGGUGGCCAUGGAAGUCGGAAUCCGCUUAGGAGUGUGUAACAACUCACCGGCCGAAUGCAUUGGCCCUGAAAAUGGAUGGCGCUUAAGCGUGCUACCUAUACCUCGCCGUUGGGGUUGAAAUGAUGCCCCAACGAGUAGGCAGGCGUGGGGGUUUGUG
rnacentral:rRNA from 1 species